rnacentral:rRNA from 1 species
GACGUAGGGCGCGAGCGUUGUCCGGAUUUAUUGGGCGUAAAGAGCUCGUAGGCGGCUUGGCAAGUCGGGUGUGAAACCUCCAGGCUCAACCUGGAGACGCCACCCGAUACUGCCAUGGCUAGAGUCCGGUAGGGGACCACGGAAUUCCUGGUGUAGCGGUGAAAUGCGCAGAUAUCAGGAGGAACACCGGUGGCGAAGGCGGUGGUCUGGGCCGGAACUGACGCUGAGGAGCGAAAGCGUGGGGAGCGAACAGG